UUUCAGGGUUCCUGGGUGUCAUGCAAAUCUCGGUGGGACCUCCUAAUGAUAGAACCUAGUGGGGAAACCCCCACUCAAUUCCUGAUUCAGCGUGCACCCAGAAAAUCACAAAUAGAC
rnacentral:pre_miRNA from 7 species